rnacentral:lncRNA from 1 species
UGGACACCACCGCAGAAAAAUGGCGUGUGAACGCCUCUACAUUGCCCAGAAAGGCCAAGGUCGUCAUUUUUAAAGCAAAUUAGGGGUCAGACCCCCAGCCCUGCUGUCUCUUCUGUGCCUGAUGUCCUUGUUACAUGUGUGUCUGCCACGUCCCCAUGUAUGGGAUGUGGUUAUGAACACGUGUCCCAUGCACAGAGCCCUGUCAUGAACACGUGUGCCCGCUGUGGAACUGCACAGCUAAAGAGCUCAGUAACCAAGGACCGUGCUUAGAGAAAACCACCACUGGACAGCUGCUUCUCGGGCCACAGGCAGGGCUGGGCAGUGAGUGGCUGCUUGGGGCCGGU